AUACCACAGGAGGCAUGAUCAAAAACAAAGACGCAAGGACCUAACAGAAGCUGAAGAGAUCAAGAAAAGGUGGCGAGAAUAUACAGAAGAUCUGUACAGGAAGAAUAAUAAUAUAGAGGAUAGCUUUGAAUUAGAACCAGACAUCCUGAGGAGUGAAGUUGAAUGGGCCUUAAGAAGCACUGCUAAUAACAAGGCAGCAGGAGACGACGAGAUCCCAGCUGAAGAGAUCAAGAUAAGGUGGCGAGAAUAUACAGAAGGAUAAUAAUAUAGAGGAUAGCUUUGACAGUGGAGUGAGGUUGAAUGGGCCUUAAGAAGCAUUGCUAAUAACUAGGCAGCAGGAGACGAUGAGAUCCCAGCCGAAGAGAUCAAGAUAAGGUGGCGAGAAUAUACAGAAGGAUAAUAAUAUAGAGGAUAGCUUUGACAGUGUGGUGAGUGAAUUAGAACCAGACAUCCUGAGGAGUGAGGUUGAAUGGGCCUUAAUGAGCACUGCUAACAACAAGGCAGCAGGAGACGACGGGAUCCGAGCUGAAGAGAUCAAGAUAUGGUGGUGAGAAUAUACAGAAGGAUAAUAAUAUAGAGGAUAGCUUUGACAGUGGAGUGAGGUUGAAUGGGCCUUAAGAAGCAUUGCUAAUAACUAGGCAGCAGGAGACGAUGAGAUCCCAGCUGAAGAGAUCAAGAUAAGGUGGCGAGAAUAUACAGAAGGAUAAUAAUAUAGAGGAUAGCUUUGACAGUGGAGUGAGGUUGAAUGGGCCUUAAGAAGCAUUGCUAAUAACAAGGCAGCAGGAGACGAUGAGAUCCCAGCUGAAGAGAUCAAGAUAAGGUGGCGAGAAUAUACAGAAGGAUAAUAAUAUAGAGGAUAGCUUUGACAGUGGAGUGAGGUUGAAUGGGCCUUAAGAAGCAUUGCUAAUAACAAGGCAGCAGGAGACGAUGAGAUCCCAGCCGAAGAGAUCAAGAUAAGGUGGCGAGAAUAUACAGAAGGAUAAUAAUAUAGAGGAUAGCUUUGACAGUGUGGUGAGUGAAUUAGAACCAGACAUCCUGAGGAGUGAGGUUGAAUGGGCCUUAAUGAGCACUGCUAACAACAAGGCAGCAGGAGACGAUGAGAUCCCAGCCGAAGAGACCAAGAUAAGGUGGUGAGAAUAUACAGAAGGAUAAUAAUAUAGAGGAUAGCUUUGACAGUGUGGUGAGUGAAUUAGAACCAGACAUCCUGAGGAGUGAGGUUGAAUGGGCCUUAAGAAGCACUGCUAAUAACAAGGCAGCAGAAGAUGACAAGAUCCCAGCUGAAGAGAUCAAGAAAAGGUGUUGCAUUGAAUUAGGCUAAGAAAGGACAUUUGAGCCCAGCACAGCAACAUUAAGAAGCUAACCAAUGCAACCGGGGAAGGAUAAUGGGUCCUGGACUCCCGUCUUGCCGUGAUGGAUCUGCUCCAGAAUCUAUCGAGACAAGGCGAUCGUGCCCAGGCUUAAUGACUGCGCCAAGGAUUAUGAAUUGCACGCCGCUUGAAGAAACAAAAGGCAAUUAAACACGGCAAUUAACAUGCGUCGGAUUGCAAAAACGAUUGAAUUUACCCUAUUACGGAGGCAAACAAGGACACUUAGCACCGCAGAAAAGCAAAUUAGAUGUACUAGGUUGCAAGGGCAUGGGCAAACUUGGGCCCUCCGGGUGUUUUGGACUGCAACUCCCACAAUUCCUAACAGCCGGUAGGCUGUUAGGAAUUGUGGGAGUUGCAGUCCAAAACACCCGGA